rnacentral:rRNA from 1 species
UACGUAGGGGGCUAGCGUUGUCCGGAAUCAUUGGGCGUAAAGCGCGUGUAGGCGGUUCGGUAAGUCCGCUGUGAAAGUCGGGGGCUCAACCCUCGGAAGCCGGUGGAUACUGUCGAGCUAGAGUACGGAAGAGGCGAGUGGAAUUCCUGGUGUAGCGGUGAAAUGCGCAGAUAUCAGGAAGAACACCCGUGGCGAAGGCGGUUCUCUGGGACGGUACUGACGCUGAGACGCGAAAGCGUGGGGAGCGAACAGG